CUUCAGAUCUUGAUACAUCUUGGUGGCUCCGGGGUGAACGUUGUAUCUUGCAUUAUGAGCCUCCCUCAUAAUGUCUCCUUUUAGCCCUAUGUCAUCUGGUACACAAAGUCUGCUCCCAUAGCGGAGGAUCCCCUUACUGUCAAAUCUGAACUCACUGUCCUUGCCUGACUGAACAGUCCUGGCAAUCUUCACUAACUCUGGGUCCUCAUGCUGUUUCUGAGCCACUUGCUCCAGAAACACA
rnacentral:lncRNA from 1 species